AGUACCUCCUUUCGGGAAGGAGUUAUAGGGGAGGCGACAUGCAACCAGCCUGGACUGAGGUCCGCGCAUCUGCUAGGAUGCUGGCGUAAUGGGGUAAGCGGCCCGUCUUGAAACACGGACCAAGGAGUCUAACAUCUAUGCGAGUGUUUGGGUGUCAAGCCCAGACGCGUAAUGAAAGUGAACGGAGGUAGGAACCCUUUGGGUGCACUAUCGACCGAUCCUGAUGUCUUCGGAAGGAUUUGAGUAAGAGCAUGGCAGUUGGGACCCGAAAGAUGGUGAACUAUGCUUGAAUAGGGUGAAGCCAGAGGAAACUCUGGUGGAGGCUCGCAGCGGUUCUGACGUGCAAAUCGAUCGUCAAAUUUGGGCAUAGGGGCGAAAGACUAAUCGGAAACCUUUCAUAUGGGGC
rnacentral:rRNA from 1 species